rnacentral:misc_RNA from 1 species
GAUGAAGAACGUAGCGAAAUGCGAUAAGUAAUGUGAAUUGCAGAAUUCAGUGAAUCAUCGAAUCUUUGAACGCACCUUGCGCUCCUUGGUAUUCCGAGGAGCAUGCCUGUUUAAGUGUCAUUAAUAUAUCAACCUUCUCUUUUUUGAGUUGUUUGGAUGUGGGGGUUUGCUGGCCUCUUAAAUGAUUCAGCUCCCCUGAAAUGCAUUAGCAGAACAACCUGUUCAUUAGCGUGAUAAUUAUCUAUGCUAUUGAGUGUGAGGGCAGUUCAGCUUUCUAACCGUCCUUGGACAAUUCAUCAUUAAUGUGACCUCAAAUCAGGUAGGACUACCCGCUGAACUUAAGCAUAUCAAUAAGCGGAGGA